UACGUAGGGUGCAAGCGUUGUCCGGAAUUAUUGGGCGUAAAGAGCUCGUAGGCGGUCUGUCGCGUCUGCCGUGAAAGUCCGGGGCUCAACUCCGGAUCUGCGGUGGGUACGGGCAGACUAGAGUGCAGUAGGGGAGACUGGAAUUCCUGGUGUAGCGGUGAAAUGCGCAGAGAUGUGGAGGAACACCGGUGGCGAAGGCGGUUCUCUGGGCCUGUACUGACGCUGAGGAGCGAAAGCGUGG
rnacentral:rRNA from 1 species